rnacentral:rRNA from 1 species
CUGCCUUUGGGUGGGGAAUAACCCAGGGAAACUUGGGCUAAUACCGCAUAAUGCAGCGGCUCGACAUCGAGACAGUUGUUAAAGCCUCUCGCAAGAGGGGCGCCUAAAGAGGAGCCUGCGUCUGAUUAGCUAGUUGGUGGGGUAAUGGCCUACCAAGGCUACGAUCAGUAGCUGGUCUGAGAGGACGGCCAGCCACAAUGGCACUGAAACACGGGCCAU